UGUAGCCUUCAUUGAUUUGAGAUCUACCAUACCAUUCUCUCACUAGAAGGAAAACCCUGUAAUGGCAGCAGGCCCUAAGAGAGACCCAGUUUGGGAAUAUUUUAAUGAAGUUCCUCUACCUUUGGGUAAGAUGGGCAUGCGUGCAAAAUGCAAACAGUGCAACAAAGAAAUGCAAGGCUUGGUUACCCAAAUGAAACGUCAUCAUGAGAAGUGUUUCUUCUCAGGAGGAAGCUGCCUUGAAGAUAGUGAAAGGAACAUGUCUGAACAUGCAGGAUCUUCAGGAGACUCCAUCAUCAACAUACAGGAUUCAGAAGACUAUCCACCUUCAAGAUCACCAUAAUUUUCUAUAGUUUCAGAGUUAUCUGCCAAUGAUAGUGUGUCAGUCACAUAGCCACAGUAUAACACCUGUAGCAAAA